rnacentral:rRNA from 1 species
CCUACGGGAGGCAGCAGUAGGGAAUCUUCCACAAUGGGCGAAAGCCUGAUGGAGCAACGCCGCGUGGGUGAAGAAGGUCUUCGGAUCGUAAAACUCUGUUGUUAGAGAAGAAAGUGCGUGAGAGUAACUGUUCACGUUUCGACGGUAUCUAAUCAGAAAGCCACGGCUAACUACGUGCCAGCAGCCGCGGUAAUACGUAGGUGGCAAGCGUUAUCCGGAUUUAUUGGGCGUAAAGGGAACGCAGGCGGUCUUUUAAGUCUGAUGUGAAAGCCUUCGGCUUAACCGGGGUAGUGCAGUGGAAACUGGGAGACUUGAGUGCAGAAGAGGAGAGUGGAACUCGAUGUGUAGCGGUGAAAUGCGUAGAUAUAUGGAAGAACACCAGUGGCGAAAGCGGCUCUCUGGUCUGUAACUGACGCUGAGGUUCGAAAGCGUGGGUAGCAAACAGGAUUAGAUACCCGUGUAGUC